AGGAAAAGUUGGGAGUGGGAGAGAGGUUGACAGCCGAGUGUCGAGGAGACUGAUGGCAGCAAAGUGAAAAGUGGAGACGUCCUAGCACAGAUUGCAUCAACAGGUCUGAGCCCCUCCAGUGUGUUUUCAACUCGGGAACAAAGGUGUCUGCGACUGAAAGAUGAAAACUGCGACAGCUGAUGAAGAUGGCCUGUCAAACUCGCACUCGGCGGAAGGAGAAGAAAAAAGAAAGAAAGAAGAAGAAGAAGAAGAAAACACAACAACGCGUAUGGAAGGACCGGAGGAGCAGAGGAGGGAAAGAGAGUGGAGAUGGAAAGACGGCAUUUAGGAAGAAAAAAGGAGGGAGUUUACACCCACCGCCUGAAGAGAUGAGAAGACAGGCAGAAGAGGAGGGGAGGGGGGUGAAUGUGUGGAGGAAGCAGCAGUGUGAGUGUGUGUGAGAGUGCCAGAGCUCAUCAGCCUGUCAAACAUCCGUUAUAGACCGCAAACCCACACAGCCAUUGUGCUGCUGAGGUCUAUCACUUAACAGGUGCGCCUCCUUCACCCUCACACAUCGUCUUAUGAUACAAUACAUACGCAUUUGCGCAUGUGUGUGUGUGUGCA